UCAAGGUUACUCUAAUUUCCCCUACUUCUAUCUACUAAUUCGAAACCAAGCAUCACAGAUCAGCAGCAAAUACACACGCUCACGCACACUUUCUUUUACUAUAUUUUCUAAGCUAUUCAUUUACAAGGUUUGAUUUUUUUGCUGAGGAAAUAAAAAAAAAAUGAGAAAGAACAGUUUUAAAACAAAAACCCUAACUUGUUCUAUAUUUUGAAUCUGGACUGAAAAAUUUGGGGGUUCUUGUGUCUUUGUCUUCUGUGUAUGUCCGGGAAUGGAGAGAUGGGGGUGAGAGCAGCCGGCGGCUGCUCGCGGCCGGAGGCGGCGCGGCGGCAGCCGCCGCCUUUUUCCUCUUGCUGUUGAAACGAGAGAGAAGGGAAAGGGGGAGAGAUUAGAUUAUAAAAAAAAAAAGGGGGAAGAAGAAAAAGAGAAGAAAUGAAGGGAGAAGAAGCUAGGGCUUACCUGCGAGUCCGGCGACGAAAGACGACGGAGGAGGCGGCCAGGCGGCGGCUGUGCGCUCCCUAUGGCGGAGAGGGCAGAUGCCCUGUUCCAGACGAGGGGAUGGAGAGGAGGCUACCCGCGCACUUUUCCGAGCAGGAGCCGAAGGAGGAAGACCAGGCGGCGCAGUGCUUGGCCACGACGAAGGCGGCAGCGACACGCGAAGGCGGCGGCGUGCGGCUAACUUCCGGCGAGGAAGAGUGAGAGAGGUGAAGAAAGAACAGAGAGACGAGAGGGAGAGAAGAGGUGACCGAGGGAGUGAGGGGGAGAGCGGAGAGUCCGACGAGGCGGCGCGCCGGAGGCGGCGCCGCACUCGACCGAACAGAGCAGAGAGAGAGAGAGAGCCGGGAGAGAGCCGAGAGAUAGAGAGAGAAUGAGGCUGUGUGUGUAUUUGUGUGUUAUGUGUGUGUUGUAGGAUUAGGGCUUUGUUUUAAUUGGGCUUAAAGCCUCUAAUGGCUGGGUCGAGAUUUUUAAAAAAAAAGGAGAAGGGAAUGGGCCGUUUCUUUUAGUGUACUGGGCCUUUUGAUUUUAAAAGCUGAUGGGUUUUGAUUUAAAUUGAUUGGGCCUCAAUUUAAUUAAUUUUGGGCUGUUAUAGAUUAUUAAAGCCUACGAAUUUUAGCCUAAUUUCUUGUGUAAAUGUUUGAAUUUUCACUAAAUUAUUUUAGUGAAUUUAAAUCUCUUGAUUUAAAUUUUUAAUAUUGAAAGUUGAGACUAUUUAUUUUAAAUGGAG
rnacentral:lncRNA from 1 species